rnacentral:rRNA from 1 species
UACGGAGGGAGCUAGCGUUGUUCGGAAUUACUGGGCGUAAAGCGCACGUAGGCGGCUUUUUAAGUCAGGGGUGAAAUCCCGGGGCUCAACCCCGGAACUGCCCUUGAAACUGGAGAGCUAGAAUCUUUGGAGAGGCGAGUGGAAUUCCGAGUGUAGAGGUGAAAUUCGUAGAUAUUCGGAAGAACACCAGUGGCGAAGGCGACUCGCUGGACAAGUAUUGACGCUGAGGUGCGAAAGCGUGGGGAGCAAACAGG